rnacentral:rRNA from 1 species
AACGAACGCUGGCGGCAGGCCCAACACAUGCAAGUCGAGCGCCCCGCAAGGGGAGCGGCGGACGGGUGAGUAACGCGUGGGAACGUACCCUUUGCUACGGAAUAGCCUCGGGAAACUGGGAGUAAUACCGUAUGUGCCCUUCGGGGGAAGAUUUAUCGGCAAAGGAUCGGCCCGCGUUGGAUUAGGUAGUUGGUGGGGUAAUGGCCUACCAAGCCGACGAUCCAUAGCUGGUUUGAGAGGAUGAUCAGCCACACUGGGACUGAGACACGGCCCAGACUCCUACGGGAGGCAGCAGUGGGGGAAUCUUAGACAAUGGGCGCAGGCCUGAUCUAGCCAUGCCGCGUGAGCGAUGAAGGCCUUAGGGUUGUAAAGCUCUUUCAGUGGGGAAGAUAAUGACUGUACCCACAGAAGAAGCCCGGCUAACUCCGUG